UACGUAGGUGACCAGCGUUGUCCGGAUUUACUGGGCGUAAAGCGCUCGCAGGUGGUUCGAUGCGUCGUGCGUGAAAGACCCCGGCUCAACUGGGGGGUGUCGUGCGAUACGGUCGGACUGGAGGCCAGUAGGGGGAUGCGGAAUUCCGGGUGUAGUGGUGGAAUGCGUAGAGAUCCGGAGGAACACCAGCGGCGAAGGCGGCAUCCUGGACUGGUCCUGACACUCAUGAGCGAAAGCGUGGGGAGCGAUCCGG
rnacentral:rRNA from 1 species